rnacentral:rRNA from 1 species
AACACUAAUGCACCGGAUCCCAUCAGAACUCCGAAGUUUAGCGUGCUUGGGCGAGAGUACUACUAGGAUGGGUGACCUCCUGGGUAGUCCUCGUUGAAGUUAAGC